GACAAACGCUGGCGGCAUGCCUAACACAUGCAAGUCGAACGGACAGAACAGGGAAGCUUUUCGGAGUGGGACUGGAAAGUUAGUGGCGGAUGGGUGAGUAACGCGUGGACAACCUACCUUGUAAAGGGGAAUAACCUCGAGAAAUCGAAGCUAAUACCCCAUAAUAACCUUGCUUCGCAUGAAGUAAGGAGGAAAGGCGGCCUUAGCGCUGUCGAUACAAGAUGGGUCCGCGUCUGAUUAGCUAGUUGGUGAGGUAAAGGCUCACCAAGGCGACGAUCAGUAGCCGGCCUGAGAGGGUGAACGGCCACAUUGGGACUGAGACACGGCCCAAACUCCUACGGGAGGCAGCAGUGGGGAAUCUUCCGCAAUGGGCGAAAGCCUGACGGAGCAAUGCCGCGUGAGUGAAGAAGGCCUUCGGGUUGUAAAACUCUGUCCUUAUCGAAGAGAGAGUGUUGUAGUAACUGACAAUACUAGGACGGUAGAUGAGGAGGAAGCCCCGGCUAACUAUGUG
rnacentral:rRNA from 1 species